rnacentral:rRNA from 1 species
UACAGAGGUCUCAAGCGUUGUUCGGAAUCACUGGGCGUAAAGGGUGCGUAGGCCGCACGGUAAGUCAGAGGUGAAAUCCCGGAGCUCAACUCCGGAAUGGCCUCCGAUACUGCCGUGCUCGAGGACUGGAGAGGAGAUUGGAAUUCACAGUGGAGCAGUGAAAUGCGUAGAUAUUGUGAGGAACACUAGUGGCGAAGGCGAAUCUCUGGACAGUUCCUGACGCUGAGGAGCGAAAGCGUGGGGAGUGAACAGG